rnacentral:lncRNA from 1 species
CCUUUUCGUUAAUCAUCAGAACACCCUGUAGCCUCUCGUUAUCUACAAAUCUGCUCAUCAUGUAACUUUAUGGUGUCCAAUCAUGAAACUUUCCAGUGUUGUUUCAUGAACAGAUAACGAUUCAGUGUCAAAUCACUUAACUUUGCAAUGUUGAGUAACACAAUUUUUUGGUGUCGAUUCACUUAACUAUUCAGUGUCAAAUCACUAAACUUUGCAAUGUUGAAUCAUUAUACUUUGCUGUGUG